rnacentral:lncRNA from 13 species
UCAUCUGUAGGUGCUGCAGUCCUACUUUAAGGCUCCAUAGUGUUUAAUCUGUAGGUGCUGCAGUCCUCCGUCCAGACUCCAUAGUGUUUCAUCAGUAGGUGCUACAGUCCUCCUUCCAGGCUCCAUAGUGUUUCAUCUGUAGGUGCUACAGUCCUCCUUCCAGACUCCAUAGUGUUUCAUCUGUAGGUGCUACAGUCCUCCGUUAAGGCUCCAUAGUGUUUCAUCUGUAGAUGCUACAGUCCUCC